AUUGAACGCUGGCGGCAUGCUUUACACAUGCAAGUCGAACGGUAACAGGCCGCAAGGUGCUUACGAGUGGCGAACGGGUGAGUAAUGCAUCGGAACGUGCCCAGUCGGGGGGGAUAACGCAGCGAAAGCUGCGCUAAUACCGCAUACGAUCUAUGGAUGAAAGCGGGGGACCGGAAGGCCUCGCGCGAUUGGAGCGGCCCAGGUCAGAUUAGGUAGUUGGUGGGGUAAAGGCUCACCAAGCCAACGAUCGGUAGCGGGUCUGAGAGGACGCACAGCCACACUGGGACUGAGACACGGCCCAGACUCCUACGGGGGGCAGCAGUGGGGAAUUUUGGGCAAUGGGCGCAAGCCUGAUCCAGCAAUGCCGCGUGCAGGAAGAAGGCCUUCGGGUUGUAACCUGCUUUUGUACGGAACGAAAAGGCUCUGGUUAAUACCUGGGGCUCAUGACGGUACCGUAAGAAUAAGCACCGGCUAACUACGUGCCAGCAGCCGCCGUAAAAC
rnacentral:rRNA from 1 species